AAAUUUCUAUAUGUACCAGCAGGGUCCCUGGGAAAUAAAUUCUUAUAAACUCCUUUCUAUCUUUCUUUUUUUUUAAUAAUUAAUUUUUACAGAUUCCGCUGGAAGAUUCUUGGCUUAGCAAAGGAAAAGAAGCCCUCUUUAUUCCUGAGCGAACAAAGGUACUAUUAUUUGACUUUCAACAUGCCAUUCAUAAUUUUUCUAGGAAGGAAGAAUGAGGACUUGAAAUAAGCUUGUGUUACUGUUAUCUGUUUAUGUAUAUAUUCAUCUUAUCAUCUUUGGUUUUGAAGGUUAUAGAAUCUUCUUUGCUUAAGAGGUGCCCUCAUUGUUUAGAAAUUCAGAGUAUUGUCCUAGCCGGGAUUGAAAGUAAGUGUGUUUUCAGUUGACAUUUAGUGUAUUUUUUAAUUUGAUGAUAUCUUAGAUAGAAGGCGUUUCUAUAGCUUACAUUAUAUGUUAAAUGGCAUACGAAUGAUUGUAGUUUGGCCGAAAGAGGGAUGUUGAAUUGUCAUUCUCUUUUUGCUUGUCUUAAUGACAUACAUGAUAUAACUAGUAUAGCAAGUUUCAUUCUACACAUGGAGAGAGAGGGUAGAUGUUGUAUGUGGUUGAUGAAACUGUCAGCAUAUCUCAUAUCUCUCAUUAGUCUUGGGGCCUUUGUUUGCAACAUAUAGAGGGUGAAACCGUUAAUUGUUAAAUCUUGUUCAAUUUAGGCAUCUGUUGAUACAACUCAUUUAGCUGGCCCUUGCAAACUAGAACAAUUAAAAAACCAUUGAUUAUCCAUUAAAACACUUGGACUCACGGUCUGAUAUUAGUUUUUUAACUUGCAUACAUUUGUGUGAAGUUAUUAUUAAACCUAGUGCUGCAUAUGGGUCAGGGUGGUUCAGAUAUUAGCUAACUUACUCACUGAGCUGAGGUUUCCUGUUUUUAAAAAUCUCAAACUGAAACCACAUUGAAGGGUAACAAAAACUAAAUGUAACUGAGACCGAAUUAGUUGGUUGUUUUGGUUCGGUUUCUCGGGUUUUUUGUCUUCGUCACAUCGCCCAAAUUUAGUGCAUUUGCAGAUAUUCAAAUCCUUAUUAAACCCUUUCAGAAAUCUUUGCCCCUGAAUCAAAUAAAAAUCACAAAGCUAACCCCAAAAGCAAGGCAUCUUAAAUAAAAAAAUUUCAAAUGUGAUCUCUCAAGUAUUAGUUCUGAUCCCCAACCUUGCAGAAAAAGAGAAGGUGAAAGAAGAUUUUAAAUAUAGAGCUAGAAUUGUGAUAUCUCUGGGCAGUGCUUUGUCGAAGAAAGAAGCUUGAACAAUAUGAAAAAUAAGAAAGUCUAAUGUUAAAAUGGUUGCUUAAGAGAAAAAAGAGAGAAAGAAGCCAGCAGUGAUAAGAGAUUCUGAACUAAAAAACUGGAAUUAGAGAAAGAAAUAAGAAAGAGAAAUUAUAAGAUUAAAAAAUAGUUGAAAAAACAAAGAAGGGUCCCUGGUCGCACUGUAUUCAUGUGACUUGCAUUCAAAUCUAGUGUCAAGUCUCACUUAUGCGUGAGCUGUAAUUUAUUAUUUGAUAGAAUGGUAAGGCGCUGGUUGGUUUGGAUAAAGUCGGAUAUGCACAAAAUCCGAAACCAAAUCAAAUAGAUUGGUUAUCUGAACCUCAUAUCGAUUCGGUUUUCGGUUUGCACAGCCCUAAUGAAACCUGCAUAAGUUGUGCUAUAUGGGAGAAUAUCUGCAAUGGGGCUAUAUUAGACAACUGAGAAGCGGAGCGGAGUUGGAUUAUAUUAGCCCAGUGCGAGCUCUAUAAAUUCCUAAUUGAAAGUCAUUAACAAACCCAUUAAAAUAUGAUCUUUAUGUUAGAAUUUAGCUUUGACAAGGGGGGAGGGAUGAAAUAAUGUUUGAUAUAGAAUGGAGUAUUAAGGUGGUCAGAAAUAAAAUUUGGUUAUCUCCUUCCAGUGUUGUCUAUGCCGUGGACUGAUAUGGCAAUUAUUUUAUCCUACUCUUAAUCAUGUUCACAAAAAGAUCACAGUGGAGGGUAAAAAUAAUUUAAUCGGAUCCUUCACCUGAAUUAAACUACAAGUGGAUUGUUUUCAAUGAAAAUAUAAUAAAUUUAAAAAUUAAUCAAGAGUAAAAUUAAAUUUUUAUCUGUAUCAUAUCAAUAAAUUGACAGAAAUAUUAACGGUCAAUUAACGGUUGGAUUUACGUAUCUAGUGAAAAAUAUUUUUUUAAAAUAAGAUAUUUAUUUUAAAAAUUAAUGAACUUUCGUGUAAUUUGGUUUUAAAUUUAGGGUGGUAAAAAUAUUUUACUCUAAUUUUUUCUUUGCAUCAAAGGACUUGUGCAAUUAUCCUUUGUUUGGUACACACUGCACACAAGUUUCACUGCCCCUAGAAGACUCAAAUGGGUGAUUUAAGACGGUUGAGAUUGAGUAAUUACCUGCAAGACCAGUUUCGAAUUAGAAGUUUUUAUUAAAAACAAAUAUAUAUAUNGUAUAUAAAGCUGCUUUGAAACGCCCACACCCUUUUGUGGAAGGUUUUGAUAUGAAAAGUAUCUAGAGAGUGAAUCUUGAUCCCCCAGACUCAAGCCCCUUAUGUCAAUAAAAUAUUGAAUUCAGCUUUUCAUGGCCUUCUGGAACAUGUAUAUAGAAAUAGAUAGUUGUUUUUGUUUAGUGUAGAAGAAAAUAAAGCGAUGUGUGAAAAGAGCCCAAAACUGGCCAUUUCACAUCAGAAAUGGAAAUGAGGACCAAAACUUGAGAGUUGAGAGUGUUUGAGGGUUAGCCUUUUAAAAUAAUGCAAGGGGACAACAACUUGAGGCUACCUCUUUUUAAAGGUCCAUUACAACACUAGGUUUUAGGGGCUUAUCAAAUUCUUUCAGGUAUACUGAUGUUGAUAAUUCCCUUUCUAUGCAUUCAUAUAUAUAUUUUUUUAAUUUGACUUGCUGGGUUUUUUUUUUUUAAAUAAAAGUAGAGGAAAUUAUGAACAAGUGUCUUAAGGGUGGCAAUGCCAAUGAUUGCUUUGACUUUGCCGAUCACUGUUGCUAUUGUUGACUAAUCAUUGGCAAUGCCAACUUGAGCAUUUACUAAUGUGAAUAGGCAAGUCUCAUUUGCUUUAAGCAGUAGAGCCAUAAUAAUUGUUUUAAAAAAUGUUCAAAUUGUAUGGUUCAGACAUCAAUUCCCCAUGUUCUCUCUCAUAACAACAGCCUCUAUUACUCUUGUUAAAGGAAACCUCAGGGAAUCACUCUGCCCCAUUUCUUGAUAUGCAUGCAGCAGGGGCACCGUUGGUGGAAUAUAACAUCUCCAGACUCCAGUGAAAGGGAAUUGAACCCUUUGCGACCUACCAAAUGGGAUUGGGGAGGCUGUCAGAACAGUCUGUCCUUACAACACUUGAAUGGUUGUCAUAAACUCCAAACUUUAAUUACUAAAACCCAGUUGUGUUGUUCAUUGGCUGGCAAUUGAUGUGAGCUUAUGUGAACUUUGAAGAAUAUCUGUAGUUGCCAAGUCAACUAUUUUAGCCAUUAGGCUUUUCAUGUGAAAAUGAGUGGGCAUGAAGUGACAUUGGAAAAACCCGGCUUUUCCCCCCG
rnacentral:lncRNA from 1 species